UUUUCUCACAUCCGAAUAUCUAAACAAAGUACUUGUUAAAAUUUAUAUACUUAAGAGACGUUUUGAUAUCUGAUUAAUUUUAUUGUCUUCUUUACUUAACUUAUUUAUAAAUUUUUGAAUCGUUAAAAAUCUUUAAUUCACUAUUAAAUAUUUUUAAUAAAUAUGUAUUAUUAAAACAUUACUUCCUGUGAUAACGUAUUUUAUUAUUUAUUUGUAAAAAAUUUAUAUAUUUAAUACAAUAUGACAAGUUCAAAGAAAAAUAAUAGUUGGUUAUUGCCAUCAUUUGAUUGUGAAUCUAUUAAAAAAACACCAACUAAAUGUAUCAUUUCAGAAGAAUUAGAAACUAAUGUUUCUCAAGUACCAAGUGAUUAUAAUAUAAUUCUGAAAAAAAAAAAUACUAAAAAUUUGUCUGCAUUGUUAGAAGCUUGUGAACCACAACGUUCUACUGAAUUAGUAGUUAGUAGACAAAAGAGACAAGAAAUUUUAGAUUGGUUACAAUAUAAAGUAAAAAAGGGCAAACCAGCUAUUUUAGUUUUAUCUGGUCCAUCUGGUUGUGGGAAAACAGCAGCAAUAAGGGUUCUUGCAAAAGAAAAUGAUUUUAAUCUAACAGAAUGGAUUACUCCUAUUGAUCAAAUUAUGGAUGAAAAUAAUAGAAUAAUGAAACAAGGAGACAAAUUUGAAGAGUUUUUAAUUAGAGCUACUCGAUAUAAUUCAAUUCUGAAUAAUUGUUCUAGUCGUUUACUUCUUGUAAAAGAUUUUCCAAAUGUUUUUUAUGAUGAUAAAGAAAGUUUUUUUUCUCUUUUAGGAAGAUAUUUUGAGAUUGGAAAAGAACCUAUUGUUUUUGUAUGCACAGAAGCAGGAAAUUCAAAAUUGUUGCAAAUAUUAUUUUCUACCAAUAUAAGGGAAAAAUUUGGUAUUGAUAUGAUUAAUAUAAAUUCUGUUACACAAGCUGCAAUGAAAAAUGCAUUAAAAAGAACAGCUAAUAUUUUAAAUUCAAUUGCUGGACAUAUGUUACAUGUCUCACAACAUAAAGUUGAUGAAAUAUUAUCAAAUAAUGUAGGAGAUAUUAGAAAUGCAUUAUUAAAUCUCAUUUUUAUUUCAUUAAAAGUACCUGAAGAACAAGAAAAUAAGUGUAAUAUACGAGAAGAAACUUUAGGACUUCUCCAUGGUGUUGGACGAGUAAUUAAUCCAAAAAGAAUUCAAACUGAAAACAAUUGGAAAUUUGUACAUGAUCCGGAUGAAAUAAUAGCUUUCUUUCAAUCACAAGCAACAGUAUUUUUAAAUUUUUUACAAGAAAAUUAUUUAAAUACUAUGGGAGACAUAGAGAAAGUGAAUAUUUGCACAAAUAUUUUAAGUUUAGCAAAUAUUUUAAAUUCUGAAUGGAUUCUAAUUUAACUAAAAUUGCUUUAUCUUUUUGCGUCCGAGGCAUAAUGGUAACCAAUGAAAAGCCAAUUUCUGGUUGGAAUCCUGUACGAAAACCACCAAAUGAUCAAAUUAAUGUACAAAGAUGUGUAGCAGCUGCCGAAAUUCGAUGGUAUGAAUCUAUAAUCAAUAAAAAAUCGAAAA
rnacentral:misc_RNA from 1 species